rnacentral:tRNA from 1 species
GCGGGGGUGCCCGAGCUGGUCAAAGGGGGCGGACUCAAGAUCCGCUGGCGGAGGCCUACGCGGGUUCAAAUCCCGCCCCCCGCA